GGGGAAUUUUCCGCAAUGGGCGAAAGCCUGACGGAGCAAUACCGCGUGAGGGAUGAAGGCCUAUGGGUUGUAAACCUCUUUUUUCAGGGAGGAAUCAAUGACGUGUACUUGAAGAAUAAGCAUCGGCUAACUCCGUGCCAGCAGCCGCGGUAAGACGGAGGAUGCAAGUGUUAUCCGGAAUCACUGGGCGUAAAGCGUCUGUAGGUGGUCAAAUAAGUCAACUGUUAAAUCUUGAGGCUCAACCUCAAAAUCGCAGUCGAAACUAUUAGACUAGAGUAUAGUAGGGGUAAAGGGAAUUUCCAGUGGAGCGGUGAAAUGCGUAGAUAUUGGAAGGAACACCGAUGGCGAAGGCACUUUACUGGGCUAUUACUAACACUCAGAGACGAAAGCUAGGGUAGCAAAUGGGAUUAGAUACCCCAGUAGU
rnacentral:rRNA from 1 species